GUUCACCUAAGCCUUCCGUACAGCUCUGAUGCUAAAAUGGUAGUGAAUUCAGCAUGGCUUUGCACGAAGAGGACAGCUUCCUCACCUGCUGACUGGACAACACCCAGGCCGUGAAAAUAAUUAACUCACCCACUAACUCAGUUUCGGAGGAUGUGGUCAAAUGUGCCCUGGUGCAGGCUUCUCCCACGCUCUCUAAUCAAAGGGCAUUUUGACUUACAUCACGUCAUCACUUAGAGGACUGAAUGGUGACCAUCACAUCUAAUGGGAUGAAAUCACAUGCAGCACACUUCCAAACCAGUAAUUGGAACGAGCCUUCUUUUCAAAACGAUUUCUGUUCCAGUGAGCAGAAGGAAA